ACUGCUCAGUAACACGUGGACAACGUGCCCUAAAGUGGAGCAUAAUCUCGGGAAACUGAGGAUAAUUCUCCAUAGACCAUGAGAUCUGGAAUGACUUAUGGUUCAAAGUUCCGGCGCUUUAGGAUCGGUCUGCGGCCUAUCAGGUAGUAGUGGGUGUAACGUACCCCCUAGCCAGUUACGGGUAUGGGCCUUGAGAGAGGGAGCCCAGAGUUGGAUUCUGAGACACGAAUCCAGGCCCUACGGGGCGCAGCAGUCGCGAAAACUUCACAAUGGGCGAAAGCCCGAUGAGGGAAUUCCUAGUGCUAGCACAUUUGUGUUAGCUUUUCCUUAGCGUAGAUAACUAGGGGAAUAAGGGCUGGGUAAGACGGGUGCCAGCCGCCGCGGUAAUACCCGCAGCCCGAGUGGUGGUCGAUUUUAUUGAGUCUAAAACGUUCGUAGCCGGUCUGAUAAAUCCCUGGGUAAAUCGGGUGGCUUAACCAUCCGAAUUCCGGGGAGACUGUCAGGCUUGGGAUCGGGAGAGGUAUGAGGUACUUCAGGGGUAGGGGUAAAAUCCUGUAAUCCUUGGAGGACCACCGGUGGCGAAGGCGUCAUACUAGAACGAAUCCGACGGUGAGGGACGAAGCCCUAGGUCGCAAACGGGAUUAGAUACCCCGGUAGUCUAGGGUGUAAACGCUGCAGACUAGGUGUUGGAGGCCCUACGGGGGCACCCAGUGCCUGAGAGAAGUUGUUAAGUCUGCUACUUGGGGAGUACGUCCGCAAGGAUGAAACUUAAAGGAAUUGGCGGGGGAGCAC
rnacentral:rRNA from 1 species